UACGGAGGGUGCAAGCGUUAUCCGGAUUUACUGGGUUUAAAGGGUGCGUAGGUGGGUCUGUAAGUCAGUGGUGAAAUCUUCAAGCUUAACUUGGAGACUGCCAUUGAUACUAUAGGUCUUGAAUUAUCUGGAGGUGAGCGGAAUAUGUCAUGUAGCGGUGAAAUGCUUAGAUAUGACAUAGAACACCAAUUGCGAAGGCAGCUCACUACGGAUGUAUUGACACUGAGGCACGAAAGCGUGGGGAUCAAACAGG
rnacentral:rRNA from 1 species